rnacentral:rRNA from 1 species
CGGGACGGGGUGAGUAACGCGUGGGGCAACCUGCCCUGUACAGGGGGAGUAACACUUAGAAAUAGGUGCUAAUACCGCAUGAGCGCACAAAGGCGCAUGCCUAUGUGCGGGAAGCCCGCGAGGGCGGUACGGGAUGGGCCCGCGUCUGAUUAGCCAGUUGGCAGGGUAACGGCCUACCAAAGCGACGAUCAGUAGCCGGCCUGAGAGGGUGGACGGCCACAUUGGGACUGAGACACGGCCCAAACUCCUACGGGAGGCAGCAG